UUUUUCCCCCCCUUCUCUCCUGGUUGUGUCAUUGUUUGCAAAAUCAUGGCUAUCAUGUCCACGACUCUCCUCAAUUGUUUGUUUUGUUUUGUUUUUGUGGCAGUUCCAUUCUGUUUCAAUUCUUCAAAUUCACAUGGAGACCAAGGAAAACAAGCUCCGUUUUGCUUUCAAUAUUGAUGCAUUUCUGCUCUAAGGCCUUGACCUGGGUGGCUGUGUCAAGAGAUGAAAGACAAAAUGAAAGAGGUCGGGGAAGCACAGACUGGCAGGAUUCCAAAACCCGAAAAACAAGCAAGGCACCAAAUUAAGCCCAAUCACAUUGGUUACAUUUCCCAGUAUUAUCGAAGAUCAAGCAAGAAAAAAGACAGAAAACAAAUGCGAAACCACAGCUUCCUUGGCUCUUUUUGCCCAUAUGCCAAAGAGCCGAGCAUUGGCGCCAAGCAUUGGCACCGGCCAUGCGGAGACUAGCGAAAGCUUUCUGAAAUUCCUCUACUUCUCAAGUGAUGACUCGGGCUUUCUCCUUAUAGACAUUCUUGAUGGGCAUGACCGGUCCUGUCAGCUGGGUGGCCAAUUUCUGUUCUUCAGCAGAACUGUCUCCCCUCUUGGGGGCCGAGGGCUUCCUGGGGAAGAGGAUGAGUUUGGAGCAAUACUCAUUCAGACGCUGCACGUUGGCCUGCAGGGACUCGGUGGACUUGUUCCUGCCUCCUCGGAUCCACAGAGAUGCCAGUGGUCCGGGCCACCUUAUUGUGAAUGCCCGCCACCCUGAGCUCCAGGCUGAGGCCUAUACCGGCGCGCACUUUGAUGUGAUACCGCACAGCGGGGCACAGCACGAAGGGCCGGGUGGGGUCCCGACUCUGGGCGCGGGGCGAUGCAGCGCCCUUUGGCUUGCCGGGCCUUGAUUCUGCAAAUCUUCCGGGCCGGCUGGUUGAACCACGUGGCCACACGCUGCUGCCAGUCUUUGUGGAAGUGGGGCUUCAACAUCAUGCCAUUCCUGCUGGGCGCCAUGGCUGCCUACGGCCCUCCUACAAAGGAAACACUAUAGAUUUCUGUAGCAGUGUUACAUAGUAAGGUUUUAUGGCGAGUUUUGUAGCAUAGAUCAUAUUACCUUAGGACUGAUGGUAAAGUUUUAGUCUAAGGAAAGCUCUGAAAAAUUUGAAAAUGUGUAACCACCCAAUGAGUUCAGCUUGCCCACUGCCUAGACAGAACCAUUUAUCAAGACAGGGGCAUGCAGAGCAGGAUGUGUGGGAGACCCGUUUUAUUAUUACUCAAAUC
rnacentral:lncRNA from 1 species